CCCCCUCAUUGCUCGUUAUGGAUUUAAUUGAUAAGGAAUGUUUUGAAUUUGAUUUGAAACAAACUUUCUUAUCUUGAUGAGAUUUGAUCUCAUCCUAACUCCCUCCAUUUUGUAGUUUCUUUUGUGUGACAAAAAGGAGGAAUUCAUCAUGGAAAUCAGAUGAGAUCUGAUUUACCAUGAGAAAGAAAGUUGGAAGGGUCAUCAUAAUAUUUUUUGCAUGGGUUUUGUGAGAGGGGGUGACAAUUCAAGCUAGAGUCCAA
rnacentral:lncRNA from 1 species